GUGGGAGGGGGCUUGCCCCCGAUGGCGGUGUGUCAGUCACUCUUCACUUAACUGAUCCACCGCUAUCGGGGGCAAGCCCCCUCCCAC
rnacentral:antisense_RNA from 1 species